AUGCAGUCGAGCGGACAGAUGGGAGCUUGCUCCCUGAUGUUAGCGGCGGACGGGUGAGUAACACGUGGGUAACCUGCCUGUAAGACUGGGAUAACUCCGGGAAACCGGGGCUAAUACCGGAUGGUUGUUUGAACCGCAUGGUUCAAACAUAAAAGGUGGCUUCUGCUACCACUUACAGAUGGACCCGCGGCGCAUUAGCUAGUUGGUGAGGUAACGGCUCACCAAGGCAACGAUGCGUAGCCGACCUGAGAGGGUGAUCGGCCACACUGGGACUGAGACACGGCCCAGACUCCUACGGGAGGCAGCAGUAGGGAAUCUUCCGCAAUGGACGAAAGUCUGACGGAGCAACGCCGCGUGAGUGAUGAAGGUUUUCGGAUCGUAAAGCUCUGUUGUUAGGGAAGAACAAGUACCGUUCGAAUAGGGCGGUACCUUGACGGUACCUAACCAGAAAGCCACGGCUAACUACGUGCCAGCAGCCGCGGUAAUACGUAGGUGGCAAGCGUUGUCCGGAAUUAUUGGGCGUAAAGGGCUCGCAGGCGGUUUCUUAAGUCUGAUGUGAAAGCCCCCGGCUCAACCGGGGAGGGUCAUUGGAAACUGGGGAACUUGAGUGCAGAAGAGGAGAGUGGAAUUCCACGUGUAGCGGUGAAAUGCGUAGAGAUGUGGAGGAACACCAGUGGCGAAGGCGACUCUCUGGUCUGUAACUGACGCUGAGGAGCGAAAGCGUGGGGAGCGAACAGGAUUAGAUACCCUGGUAGUCCACGCCGUAAACGAUGAGUGCUAAGUGUUAGGGGGUUUCCGCCCCUUAGUGCUGCAGCUAACGCAUUAAGCACUCCGCCUGGGGAGUACGGUCGCAAGACUGAAACUCAAAGGAAUUGACGGGGGCCCGCACAAGCGGUGGAGCAUGUGG
rnacentral:rRNA from 2 species